GACGAACGCUGGCGGCGUGCUUAACACAUGCAAGUCGAACGGAAAGGCCUGCUUUCCCUUGUGGAUUGCGGGUACUCGAGUGGCGAACGGGUGAGUAACACGUGAGUGGUCUGCCCCCAACUUGGGUAUAAGCCUGGGAAACUGGGUCUAAUUCCCGAUAGGACUGCAGGGUGGUGCCUGUGGUGGAAAACGAUUUUCUAGUGGUUGGGGAUGAGCUCGCGGCCUAUCAGCUUGUUGGUGGGGUAAUGGCCUACCAAGGCGGCGACGGGUAGCCGGCCUGAGAGGGGGGACGGCCACAUUGGGACUGAGAUACGGCCCAGACUCCUACGGGAGGCAGCAGUGGGGAAUAUUGCACAAUGGGCGGAAGCCUGAUGCAGCGACGCCGCGUGGGGGAUGACGGCCUUCGGGUUGUAAACUCCUUUCGACCGCGAGGAAGCCACCUGGUUGGAAGGGUGGUGACGGUAGUGGUAGAAGAAGCACCGGCUAACUACGUG
rnacentral:rRNA from 1 species